rnacentral:lncRNA from 1 species
CGUGUCCUGGGUUCAUGCCUUUCUCCUGCCUCAGCCCCCCGAGUAGCUGGGACUAUAGGCGCCCACCACUACGCCCGGCUAAUUUUUGUAUUUUUAGUAGAGACGGGGUUUCACUGUGUUAGCCAGGAUGGUCUUGAUCUCCUGACCUUGUUUGCUUUUUGUAUUUUUAGUAGACAUGUGGUUUUACCAUGUUGUUCAGGCUGGUCUCGAUCUCCUGGUUUCAUGAUCCUCCUGCCUCAGCCUCCCAAAGUGCUGGGAUUACAGGUGUGAGCCACCGUGCCUGGCCUGGUUACCAGAAUUCUAAGUUCUGUUAGGGUCUGUUGCCAAAGAAGUGAGGUUGCUUCUUUAAGGUUCCAUCCCCUCAGCCUCCCCCUUCCAGAAGACCUACGCAGGACCCCAGUGGGCUUCUGACUGCUCAUCCUCCCCAUAGGUCAACUCCUUACCUGUACACAGUUAUGUCCACCCAGGGCCUACUUGGACACCUGCACCUGAUGUUCACCAGGGGCCUAGGAAUCCACUUGGGGCCUGGGAUCCUACAGGGGCCUAAUGUUACCCUGCAGAUUGAGUAGCCACCUGGGGACAAGGUAUCAACCUGGGGACUGUGGUUGACCUGUGGGUUAAUGUCCACCUGGGGACUGGUUAUUCAGCUGAGGCCUGAUGCGUACCUGGGGCCGAAUGUCCCCCUCAGGGUGAAUUCCACCCAGAUCCACCUGGGGCCUAAUGUCUGCCUUAGAUCUGUGUCCCACUGGGGCCUUGUGUUCACCAGGGACUGGUAUCCAGCUGUGGCCUGAUGACCUACUGCAUCCUGUUGCUCACCUACGGCCUGGUGUCUACCUGGGGCUUGGUGAUCACCUGGGAACUGGAUAUUAACCUGGGGCCUGGGUGACCACUUAAGGCCUGAUGUGUGCCUGGGGCCUGACUGUCCACCUGGGGACUGGGUGUCCACCUUGGGUCUGAUGUCUACCUGAAGUUAGGUAUCUACCUAAGGCUUGGUGUCUACCUGUGGCCUGAUGUCCACAUGAGUCUGGGGUUCGGUUGGGGCCUGCUGUACAUCUGGGACCUUGGUGUCUAUCUGAGGCCUGAUGUCUACCUGGUGACUGCCAUCCUCUUGAGGCCUGCUAUCCACCUGGGAAUGGUUUAUCCAUGGAAAUGGUUAUGUCCACCUGGGGCUGGAUGUUGCCCAGGGGCUAGAUGUCCACCUGUGGCCCCGUGUCCACCUAGGGCCUGAUGUCCACCUGGGACAUGGUGUUCACCUGAGACCUGGGUGUUUACAUAGGGCCUGAUGUCCAGCUGGUGCCUAGGUGCCCACCGGGGGCCUUCUGUUAACCUGGGGACUGGUAUCCAGCUGGGUCCUAAUGACCACCUGGGUUGAAUUAUUCACCUAGAGUUUGGUAUUCACUUAGGGCUUGAGUGUCAGCCUUGGACCUGGUGUCCACCUGGGCCUUGGGUAUCAAACUAGGGGUUUGGUAUCCAGUUGAGACAUCAUUUGCACCUGGGGUCUGAGUGUUCGCAUGAGGCCAGAUGACCACUGGGGGCCUGAAUGUCAACCUGGUGUCUGAAAUUCACUGGAAGCCUAGGUAUCCACCUGGGGCCUGAUGUCCACCUGGGACUAGGUGUCAACAUGUGGCCUGAUGUAAACCUCUAGUUGAGUGUCCACCUUGGGCCUGAUGUCCACUGGGGGACUGAUGUUCCCCUUUGAUCUGAUGUCUACCUGGAAACCGUGUAUUCACCCAUGGCCUGAUGGUCACCUGGGGUUGAAUGUCCAACUGUGACCAGAUGUGCACCAGGAUUCUGGGCAUCCACGUGGGACCUGAUGUUCAGCUGGGGCCUGGAGUUCACCUGAGGCAUGAUGCCUACCUGAAGCUUAAUGUUCAUCUGAGUGCUGGAUGUUCACCUGGGGCCUGAUAUCCCCCUGGAGCCCAAGGACCCUUCUCAGGCCUGAUGUCCACAAGUUGGCCUGGUAUUCAUCUGGGGCCUUCGUGUUAACCUGUGGCCUAAUGUACUCCUGGGUUCUAGUGUCCUCUUGGGACCUGAUGUCUACCAGGAUCCAGGUAUCCACCUGGGGCUCGGUAUCCACCUAGGGCUUGAUAUUCACCUGGGGCCUAGGAAUCCACUUGAUAACUGGUGCCCAUCGGGGUCCUGAUGUUCACCUUGGGACUGGGUAACCACCUGAGGCCUGAUGUCCACUUAGGGCAUAAGUGUUUAUCUGGGGUCUAGUGUUCACAUAGGGUCUGAUGUCAACCUUGAGCCCAGGUAUUCACCAGGGGACUAGUGUCCAGCUGGGACCAGAUGUUCACUUGGGGCCUGGUGUCAACUUGGAGCACGGUUGUCAACCUAGGACCUGAUGUCCAGUCCAGUGUCCACCUUGGGCCUGUUUACUACCCGGGGCCUGUGUGUCCACAUAGACCAUGGUGUCAAUCUGGGGCCUGGGUAUUUACCGGGCGCCUGGAUAUUCAUUGGUACAUUAUGUCUAGUGGAGUCUUUGUGUCAAUCUGAGCUCUGAUGUCUACCUAGAGAUUGGGUAUCCAUCUAAGGCCUGGUGUUUACAUGGGGCCUGUAACAUGAGGUUCCAGAUGAACUCAGAUGUCCACCUGAGGCCUGAUGUCCACCUGAGUUCUGAGUGUUCACAUAGGGCCUGCUGUCAACUUGGGACCUAAGUAUUUACCUAGGGCCUGGGUGUCCACCUGGUGCCUGACUUCCAACUAGAUCUGUGUCAACAUGGGGCCUGAUGUCCACUUUGGGCCUAGGUAACUUCCUGAUGACUAAUGCCCACAUGGUUCCUAAGGACCAUCUGAGGCCUGGUAUUAAUUUAGAGACUGGUAUUCAUCUGGGGUCCAGGUAUCCACUUGGGACCUGAUGUUCACCUGGAGUAUAGGAAUUCACGUGGGGCCUGGUAUCCACCUUAAGUGUGUGUAUCCAAUUGAGUGUGGUGUCCACCUGGAGUCCAGUGUAUACCUGGGGCCUGAUGUACAUAUGGAGCCUGGGCGUCUAUCUAGGACCUGAUGUUCAGAUAAGGGCUGGCAUUCUCCUGGCCUGGUGUCCACAUGGAGCCUGGGUGUACACUUGAAGCCUGAUAUCCCAGGUGGAUACCUGGGCCCCAGUGGUCAUCAGAUCCUAGGAAACUCUCAGGCCCCAGGUGCACAUAAAGCUACAGUGGCCACCUAGGCCACAGGUUGAUACACAGGGUCCAGGUGGACACUGGGUGCAAGAUGAACACCAGGCCCCUGGUGAACGCCAAGCCCCAGGUGUCUGCCUAGUCCUCAACUGGACACCAGGCACUAGAUUGACACACAGGUACCAGGUGGAUAUCAGGCUGCAGGUGAACAUCAGGCCUCAGGUGGUUGGGUUACUUAUAGCAUAGGUGGCCAUCAGGUCCCAGAUCUAUAUCCACUCCCCACCUGAAAAUCAGGAUCCAUGUGGAUACCCAUGUCCUAGGUGAACACCAGGUUCCAAAUGAACAUCAGGCUCCAAGCGAACACACAGGCCCCAGCUCAAUACCAGCCUCAGGUAGACAUCAGGACCUAGGUGCACCCCAGGCCCAAUGUGCAUGCCUAGUCUCUUGGAAUACAUCAUUUUCAAGGUGGACACCCAGAUUCCUCAAAGACAUCUGGUGCCAGGUGGAUAUCUGGCUGCAGGUGGACAUCAGGCCCCAGGUGGAGACCCAGUACACAGGUGUAAAUCAGGCUCCAGUAUUUCAUCAGGCCCCAGUUUAACACUUGACUAAAGGUGUGCAUCAAGACCCAGGUUGACAGCCAGGCUUCAGGUGCACACUAGGCCCAAAGUGUACACCUGUGCCAAGGUGGGCAUCAGGCCCAAGGUGUACACCAGACCCCAAGUGGACAUCAGGCCCCAGGUUGACACAAUGAACCAUGUAGAAGUCAGGCUGUAAGUAGACACCCAGGCCCUAGGUAAAUACUUUGGUCCCAAGCCAACAUCAGGCCCUAUGUGGACACCCAGACUCCAGACAGAUGUCAGGCCCCAGGUGAACACUGAACUCAGGGUGGUCAUCAGGCACUAGGUUGACACAUAGGCCUCAGGUAGACAACAAGCACAGGUGAACUUCAGGCUCCAGAUGAACGUCAGGCUCCAGGAAGAAGUCUGUGCCCCAGUUAAACACCAGGUCUUAGGUAGACAUCAGGCCUCAAAUGGAUGCCCAGGCCCCAGGUGGAUAUAAGGCCUCAGGCAAACACCAGGCCCCAGGUAGACAUUAGACACGAGAUGGACACUCAAGCCACAAGUGAACAUCUGUCCCCAGGUGGACAUCCACCCAAGGUGGACAUCAGGCCAGAGAUGUACACCCAGGCCCCAGGAGAACCCCAGGCCCCAGGAGGACACCCAAGUGCCAGAAGGACACCCAGUCCCUAGGUAACUACAAGGCCCCAAGUGGACAUGAUGUUCCAGAUGGAUAUGAGGCCCCAAGUGGAUACUAGGCCCAGGUGGACCCCAGAUCUCAGGGGCACACCAGGCCCCAGGGGAACACCAGGCCCUAGGUAAGCAUGAAGUCCCAGGUGGACAUCAGUUGCCAGGAGGACACCAGGACCCAGUUGCUCAUCAAGCCACAGCUGAACACCAGUUCCCCAUGAACACCAGUCCUCAGGUGGGCACCUAGUCAUCUCGUGUGUAUCAGGUGCCAGGCUGACAUAGGCACCAGCUGAACUCUGGGCCUCAGGUGAACAUCAGAUCCCAGGUUGUCACCCAGGCCCCAGGUGAACACCAGGUUUUAGGUGGACACGAGGUCCUAGGUGGAUGUCUAUGCUCCUGGUGAACCUCAGGCCCUAGUGGACACUCAGGCCCUUUAUAGACAUCUGGCUCCAUGUGCACUCCCAGGGCCCAGGUAGACAUGAGGCCCCAGAGGAACACCAGUCCUUAAUCACCUAAGACUGAAUUCCCCUAGGGCAGGAGACUGAGUAUUCACCUUGGGCCUAGGAAUCUACCUGAGGCCAGAUGUCAAUCCGGGGCCUGAUGUCUACUCAGGUUCAGCUGUCCACCUAGGGCGGGGUGUUUUUCUGGGACCCAGAGUCUACCUGAAAUCUUGGUAUCAACCUAGGGCCUAUGUGUCCACUUGGAGUCUGAUGUGCACCUGAAGCCUGAGUUUUCACGUGGGAUCUGAUGAGCACCUGGGGCCCAGGUUUCCAUCUGAAACAUCAGGUUCUAGUUAUACAUCUGGGCCCCAGGUAUACACUAGGCACCAAAAGAACUCCAGCCCCUAUCUUAACAUGAGGUCCUAGGUGAAUGCCCAGGCCUCAUGUCUACAUUAGGCCUCAGGUAGACAUGACUCCAGGCGGGCAUCAGGCCUGAUAUUGGCUCUAUGUCUCCACCCAAAUCUCAUGUUGAAUUGUAAUCCCCAUGGGUUGAAGAAUGAGCCUGGUGAAUGGUGAUUGAAUCAUGGGGGCAGACUUCCCACUUGGUGUUCUCGUGAUAGAGUUCUUACGAGACCUGGUUAUUUGAAAGUGUGUAGCACAUCCCCCUUCUGUCUCCCUCCUCCUCCCACAUGGUAAAAAGGGCUUUACAUCAUGAUUGUAAGUGUCCUGAGCCCGCCCAGUCAUGCUCCCUAUUAAGCCUGAAGAACUGUGGGUCAGUUAAACCUCUUUUCCUCAUAAGUUGCCCAAUAUCAGGUAGUUUUUUAUAACAGUGUGAAAAUGGACUAAUACAAGGACUUAGGAUAACAACCAUGCUUCAGGCCAUAGGUGGACAUCUGGCUGCAACUGGACACUAUUCCCCAGGUGGAUACCUAGGCUCAAGGUUGACAUUAGUCCCCAGGUAAACAACAAGCCCCAGGUGAAUAUCUAUGCCCUAGUAGACAUCAGGCCUCAGGCUGACACUCAGUCUAACCUCAACAUUAGGCUCCAGGUGGACGCCCAGACUGCAGGUGGAUACUAGACCCCAGGGGUACACCAGACUCCUGGUAGGCAUAAGACCCCAGGAGGACACUAGAAUCCAGGUGUACAUAAAGCCACUGGUUGACACCAAGCCCUCAGAUGAACAUCAGGCCAACUAGUGGAUGUUAGGCACAUGAGAAUACUUGGGCACCAGGUAGGUAUCAGGCCCCAGGUAAACAUCAAACUUCAGGUGGACAUCAUUCUCCAUGUGAACUCUAGCCCCAGCUAAACAUCAGGCUCCAGGUGGAAGCCCAGACCCCAGGAGCACUUCUGACCACAGUUGAACAUCUGUCUCCAGGUGAAUAUCAGACCAUGGAUGGAUAACAAGUCCCCAGGUGGACAUCAGGUCAAAAGUGAAUAUAAGUCUCUAGGAAGACAUCUGACCCCAGGUGGAUACUGAACUAGAGGUUUACAUCAGACCCCAGAUUGACAUUCAGUCCCCAGGUGGUCAUGACACCUCAAUUGGACACCAAGUCCGUAGGUGUCCCAGGUGUACACCAGGUCAAAGAUGAACACAAGACCUAAGUUUGACACUGAAGCCCCAAGUGGACAUGAGGCCCUAGGUGAAUAAUAUGACCCAGGGGAUCAUUAGGACCCAGCUUCAUACCAGUCCCCAGGUUUACACGAGGCCCCCAGUAGGUUCCUAAAUUCUAGUUGGACAUGAGGUCUCUA